rnacentral:rRNA from 1 species
AACUACCCAACAGACCGUGAUAACCUCGGGAAACUGAGGCUAAUAACGGAUAGUGCUCCCGAGCUGGAAUGCUGGGAGCGCGAAAGCUCCGGCGCUGUUGGAUGUGGCUGCGGCCGAUUAGGUAGACGGUGGGGUAACGGCCCACCGUGCCGAUAAUCGGUACGGGUUGUGAGAGCAAGAGCCCGGAGACGGACUCUGAGACAAGAGUCCGGGCCCUACGGGGCGCAGCAGGCGCGAAACCUUUACACUGUACGCAAGUACGAUAGGGGGACACCGAGUGCGAGGGCAUAGAGCCCUCGCUUUUGUACACCGUAAGGUGGUGCACGAAUAAGGGCUGGGCAAGACCGGUGCCAGCCGCCGCGGUAACACCGGCAGCCCAAGUGAUGGCCGCUAUUAUUGGGCCUAAAGCGUCCGUAGCUGGCCGUUCAGGUCCGUCGGGAAAUCCACUGGCUUAACCAGUGGGCGUCCGGCGGAAACCGUUCGGCUUGGAACAGGGAGACCAGAGGGGUACGUCCGGGGUAGGAGUGAAAUCCCGUAAUCCUGGACGGACCAUCGGUGGCGAAAGCGCCUCUGGAGAACUGAUUCGACAGUGAGGGACGAAAGCUGGGGUCUCGAACCGGAUUAGAUACCCGGGUAGUCCCAGCCGUAAACGAUGCUCGCU